CUCUUUAUCUAGAGGUUUUUGUUUAAAUUCAAACUAACCCUGAUUAUAAAUUCUUCCUUUUUUAGGAGGUGAUUGUUCAAGCUCAUUUAACAACAAAGUGAAAGUGAAGAACAUUGCUCUCUUGAUGGCUGUUCCCUACUUCACCUAGAUGGCCAAACUGCUGAUAUUGGCAUGGUGGAGCUGCUUCUGCAGCAUGGUUAUUGGUGCCAGCAUAAAUGCUUGUGAUUCAUGAGGUCAGACCCCACUGCAUCAUAGUCUUAUGAGAGGAAGAACUGCAAUUGCCAACUGUUACUUGCGAGAGGAUUUCGUUUGAAUCACACAUUGCUGAUCUUGAAGUCAAGACCCCUUGUCUCAGAAUUAGCCCUCGAUGAGGUGGAGAAUUUUGCCCUCCUGAAAGGAGCAAACGGAUAACACCAGCACAAAAGUCACUCUGAGCUAGAAGUUCCACGUCCCAAAAAGCAACGAAGGUCUAAGUUAUCAGGGAAAACAGCUUGCUCAGUCCAGGUUAUUUGUUAUGCCAAAGGACAUUUUAAUAUGUGCAAGCCUCAUGGAAUGAAAGAAUUUAUUGAUCUCUUUGGGUCGGCAAAGUGGAGCCAAGAAUUGAUAUAAACACAAGAGGGCCAAGUUACAGCGGAUAGUUUGUUUGCAUGUCUCUCCUCAAAAGGGUUUGUAGAGCUCUGCAUAAAUCGGUGCUGUUAUAUAGUGUUUUUAUCCCUCAGUUUCUUCUCUCUAAUUCUUUGCACAUCAUACCGAAUUAGGUGUACAUUGAUUUGUUCCGGCUUCUAGUUUCAAUUUUCCAUAGAGUGGUUUCUUUUUUUCAUUCCCUUUUUAUCUUCUAUGUUCCUUGUUUAUUUUUUUUCCGAUUCUCGGUGAGGUCAAAUUUUGGUGGAGACUUGAUGUUAAAGCAGAAAAUAUAAGAAAUUUUAGCA